AAGGCUUACCAAGGCGACGAUCAGUAGCUGGUCUGAGAGGACGACCAGCCACACUGGGACUGAGACACGGCCCAGACUCCUACGGGAGGCAGCAGUGGGGAAUUUUGGACAAUGGGGGAAACCCUGAUCCAGCCAUGCCGCGUGAGUGAAGAAGGCCUUCGGGUUGUAAAGCUCUUUCAGCCGGAACGAAACGGUCACGGCUAAUACCUGUGACUACUGACGGUACCGGAAGAAGAAGCACCGGCUAACUACGUGCCAGCAGCCGCGGUAAUUCUUAGGGUGCGAGCGUUAAUCGGAAUUACUGGGCGUAAAGCGUGCGCAGGCGGUUCUGUAAGUCAGAUGUGAAAUCCCCGGGCUUAACCUGGGAACUGCGUUUGAAACUACAAGGCUAGAAGGG
rnacentral:rRNA from 1 species